AUAUGUAAUCUAAUUUCUACAUUCAUUCCCCUUCCUCCACCAAACCUGUCUCUCACCCACUGACUCCUCUAUUUACAUCUUCACUAACUGGCUGUCUUGCCUACACACCAGCCUCUGGCUUCUUUACUAUUCAUUCCAUCUAGGAAGU